UUAUUUUUGUAAACUUAUAAAAUUUUGAUCAUAUUGCUCCGAAAUCAACAUUUAAAGUUCACUUUGAGCAUCUAUACCAUUUUUGUAUAAAAUUGUACAGUACAUUUGUAAGUAAUAGAUAUCCAAUAUUUUAUAGGCAAUUCAACUCUCACACUUGCAUAAUUUUAAUACACAUAUCACAGUUUAAUUUCAAAUUGGUUGGAUCUACUAGCACAAACACAGGGUUUAUAAUUCAAGAACACAAUUAUAUGUUUCAUACUUGAAAUAUUUUACAAUAAACUGAAUAUUCUGAGUUGGGAUUUUAAAACUUUGAAUGUGUAGAAUGUUAAAAUUUUCAAUAUAACUAUAAAUCUGAAUGAAAUGAAAUUAUAAGAAAGGUAAGGUAAAAGUUCACGUAUGAUCAUGAUGUUAAAACCACAUUUAUCGAUGUUUUCUUAAAAUUUGCUUUAAUGUUUUUGUUUGAUCAUUUUCAAUCUGAAGCAAGAUGACUGGGAAUACUUUUUCUUAACCCAGUCCAGUGAAAACACAAUGGCAUCAUUGAUGUUGCGAAGAAAAUAGCACUAAACAGAUUAUCUUUGGUCUUUGAACUCUAGGAAGUUCCUUUGCUUCAUUUCAUGUGAGAUUUCAACCUAUGAUGAGAUUGUUUUCAAAAAACAGAUAGUCUAUAAAUAACUUAAGAAAAGGAAGAAUGUAAUUUGCAGCAACAAUGACCAACAGAUAGUCUAUAAAUAACUUAAGUAAAGGAAGAAUGUAAUUUGCAGCAACAAUGAACAUAGGACACAAUCUAACAAGUAAAGUUAACAUAUCAAAAUGGAAAAAAAUGGUUUAAUAACAUAACAAUAAAUAAACUAGCUGCCAAACCAUAGCAUUUUUGUAUCUUUUUUUGUGAUAUGUGCAAAGCAAAUAUUUUUACAUUCCUCAACAUUGGUCAGAGUAAAAAUGCUUAAUAAUAAAAAAGUUCCAAUGAACCUGAAUCUUUAAGUGAAGAUCACUUUGUUGAAAGUACUUUUAAUAUUAUCAAGUCUUAUGAUACAUGUAAUAUCAAAUUCAAAAUGUUGGAUAUUAG
rnacentral:lncRNA from 1 species